AAGGUUUCCGUAGGUGAACCUGCGGAAGGAUCAUUACCGAGUGCGGGCCCUCUGGGUCCAACCUCCCAUCCGUGUCUAUCUGUACCCUGUUGCUUCGGCGUGGCCACGGCCCGCCGGAGACUAACAUUUGAACGCUGUCUGAAGUUUGCAGUCUGAGUUUUUAGUUAAACAAUCGUUAAAACUUUCAACAACGGAUCUCUUGGUUCCGGCAUCGAUGAAGAACGCAGCGAAAUGCGAUAAUUAAUGUGAAUUGCAGAAUUCAGUGAAUCAUCGAGUCUUUGAACGCACAUUGCGCCCCCUGGUAUUCCGGGGGGCAUGCCUGUCCGAGCGUCAUUGCUGCCCUCAAGCACGGCUUGUGUGUUGGGCUUCCGUCCCUGGCAACGGGGACGGGCCCAAAAGGCAGUGGCGGCACCAUGUCUGGUCCUCGAGCGUAUGGGGCUUUGUCACCCGCUCCCGUAGGUCCAGCUGGCAGCUAGCCUCGCAACCAAUCUUUUUAACCAGGUUGACCUCGGAUCAGGGUAGGGAUACCCGCUG
rnacentral:rRNA from 1 species